rnacentral:rRNA from 2 species
UAUGGUGAUGAUGGCAUGAGGGAUACACCUGUUCCCAUACCGAACACAGAAGUUAAGCCUCAUUACGCUGAUGGUACUCGGAGGGUGACCUCCCGGUAGAGUAAGAAAUCGCCAAAU